rnacentral:rRNA from 1 species
AACGAACGCUGGCGGCAGGCUUAACACAUGCAAGUCGAGCGCCCCGCAAGGGGAGCGGCAGACGGGUGAGUAACGCGUGGGAAUCUACCCAUCCCUACGGAAUAGCUCCGGGAAACUGGAAUUAAUACCGUAUACGCCCUUUGGGGGAAAGAUUUAUCGGGGAUGGAUGAGCCCGCGUUGGAUUAGCUAGUUGGUGGGGUAAAGGCCCACCAAGGCGACGAUCCAUAGCUGGUCUGAGAGGAUGAUCAGCCACAUUGGGACUGAGACACGGCCCAAACUCCUACGGGAGGCAGCAGUGGGGAAUAUUGGACAAUGGGCGCAAGCCUGAUCCAGCCAUGCCGCGUGAGUGAUGAAGGCCUUAGGGUUGUAAGGCUCUUUCACCGAUGAAGAUAAUGACGGUAGUCGGAGAAGAAGCCCCGGCUAACUUCGUGCCAGCAGCCGCCGUAAGAC